CAAAAUGACUCUCGGCAACGGAUAUCUCGGCUCUUGCAUCGAUGAAGAACGUAGCAAAAUGCGAUACUUGGUGUGAAUUGCAGAAUCCCGUGAACCAUUGAGUCUUUGAACGCAAGUUGCGCCCGAAGCCAUUAGGUUGAGGGCACGCCUGCCUGGGUGUCACAC
rnacentral:rRNA from 1 species